GUGAAGUCAUCUGUGUCUGGAGUUUUUUUUGUUGGAUGGUUUUUUAAAAAAACAUUACUUCGAUUUCUUUAACAGAUAUAGCACUGUUCAGGUUGUGUGUGUCUCUUCUCGAGCUUUGUCUGUGUCUUCAAGGAGACUGUCCCUCUCCCAGACCUGCGCCAUGAGGAAGGCUUGCUCGGGUCUCUUGCCUCACCUCAUUGGAUACCAGUAAAGAGGCCAUAAAGAACAAACUUCAGCAUGGUGAUUUGGGUUUACUCCCAAGGAAGAAGGUCAGUGUCAAAGAUUUUGCUGCAGAAGUAAGUCAAGGUGUGCUGAUAAGAGAAGGCGUCUAGGAGUCCUGAAAGCUAAGGGCCAACAGAAGACUCAGGCUCUAAAUGAGUUGGCAAGAAGCAGGUGUGCUAGGGAUGGUGUCUCCAAGUAGCAGAGAACCAUAUGAGGUGACCUCCUAUGGCCUGGAGCUCAGAUGUAAAGAUAAGAUCAGGGCACACAUUUCUGUGAACCACUGCCCCUAUUCCCACAGCAGCAGGAGGCUUCCAUGGGGUCAGUUGUAAAGACUCACUGAGGACCUUCUCUGAGCACAGCUCGUAAAUGUGAGAUAUGGUGCUAGUAUGCAACAGAAUUAUAAUGUGUUUGUGCAAACGUGAAACUUUAGCAGAUACCAGAGAGUCAAAUUAAGGUGCUAGGUGGCAUAGGAUAGACUGUCAGGACUGUGAACACCUUUAAAUAGAAAGGUCUUGAUGAGGCUUCAGUAGUCAGAGAAUGCCUUGCGGAGGGGCUUCAGCCUGAGCUGGGCCUAAAAGAGUGGCCAAGAUUUUGACAGAGAGGCAUAGAGAAGGGAUAACAUUGCCAAACCUGGAAGCCACAGGAUGAGGGGCACAGAGAAGUAAGGACCUCUAUCAGCCAACUGGCAGGAUAGAGAGGAGUUUGGAGGGGGUGGGGGCUAGAGAGACAGCAUGAUAAGAGGUAAAGAGCAAUAGCAUUUCAAGGGCCUUGAAUGUCAAUUAGUGAAAUUUAAACCUGAUGCUUCAGAGAAUAAGGAUUUAUUAGUGCUUUUAUAGUG
rnacentral:lncRNA from 1 species